GCGUCUUUACAAAGGUGGUGACUAUACGGCAAGUGUAGAGAAAAAGAGGGUGAGCUGGGCAGUCAGGCAAGAAAAGGAAGUUUAUUAGAGGGAAAAGAGAGGGUGACUGGCUCUUAAGGAGAACCAGCGCCCUCCUUUUCUGAUGGAGUCCUUCUUAUUCCCCAUCAAUGAAAAACUCUCCGAAGGGAUGGUCACGUCGCUGGAGAUGUGGAAUCUGGUGGUCUCGCAGUUGAGAAGGAACCUUGAUGACCCCUGUGACCGGCCUAUUCUCCAAGUCUGUCCAGUUCUCAGACCCUUGCCCGCCUCACCUGGACCAGCUCUCCUUCGAAAGGACACUGACUCAUAACAGAGGCGGAUGGUUACAUUUCCCCAGCAUAAAGGUUAAUAAAUUAAAUGAAGAAGAAACAAAGGAAAAAUGCUGGAUCUCAGAGCACAUCUCAGAGGCUUAUGGGUGCAAUAGUUGUAGAAGGGAACUUGAGUCAGCCACUGCCGGAGUCUGGGGUCUGGCUGCAGCAUCUCUGGAGUGUUCGAGGCAUAAGAAGGGCUCUACCCACCCCAGAGGUCUUUAAUCCCUGGGCAAUGGCUUCCAGCAAAACAAGAGAACAUUAAGUGUCAGUUACUAAGUCUGUGGUUAAUGUUUCAUACAGUCCAACUCAAGGCAAAUAAAUAUUUCAGCAAAAAGAACAGCCCUGUGAUAUAUGUGAAUGUCACUGAUUUAAGAAAGCCUCUAAAUUCACUGCAGUUACAGAGAAGUGGGAGGCAAGGACACAGGAGAAGCAGUUGAUUCAUUCCCUCCUUGGCUCUUCCAAAAGCUCUGCUCACCUCUCCAUUCUUGCCUCCUGCACUUCUCCACACCUCCCCUCUACUGUUUUCCUUGAUUUAAUUGCCAUUACUCUUAUUUUCCUUACACAGUCUCCUGAAACAGAAAUAAGAGUAAUAAGUAAUAAGCAUGAAUCUAUGCAUCCCUCUUUCCAGGGGAAAACCUGAGCACUGAACAAUAAACAUUCAUUUCUCCCCACCUCUUUCAG
ensembl:lncRNA